GUAUAAGAGACAGCAGCAGCCGCGGGAAUACAGAGGGUGCGAGCGUUAAUCGGAUUUACUGGGCGUAAAGCGUGCGUAGGCGGCUUUUUAAGUCGGAUGUGAAAUCCCUGAGCUUAACUUAGGAAUUGCAUUCGAUACUGGGAAGCUAGAGUAUGGGAGAGGAUGGUAGAAUUCCAGGUGUAGCGGUGAAAUGCGUAGAGAUCUGGAGGAAUACCGAUGGCGAAGGCAGCCAUCUGGCCUAAUACUGACGCUGAGGUACGAAAGCAUGGGGAGCAAACAGGAUUAGAUACCCCAGUAGUCCCUGUCUCUUAUAC
rnacentral:rRNA from 1 species